rnacentral:rRNA from 1 species
GCUACGGGUGGCAGCAGUGAGGAAUAUUGGUCAAUGGCCGAGAGGCUGAACCAGCCAAGUCGCGUGAGGGAAGAAUGUCCUAUGGAUUGUAAACCUCUUUUGUCAGGGAGCAAAGUCACCCACGUGUGGGUGUUGGAGAGUACCUGAAGAAAAAGCAUCGGCUAACUACGUGCCAGCAGCCGCGGUAAUACGUAGGUGGCAAGCGUUAUCCGGAUGUACUGGGUGUAAAGGGCGUGUAGGCGGGACUGCAAGUCAGAUGUGAAAACCACGGGCUCAACCUGUGGCCUGCAUUUGAAACUGUAGUUCUUGAGUACUGGAGAGGCAGACGGAAUUCCUAGUGUAGCGGUGAAAUGCGUAGAUAUUAGGAGGAACACCAGUGGCGAAGGCGGUCUGCUGGACAGCAACUGACGCUGAGGCGCGAAAGCGUGGGGAGCAAACAGGAUUAGAUACCCUAGUAGUC